rnacentral:rRNA from 1 species
GACGAACGCUGGCGGCGUGCUUAACACAUGCAAGUCGAACGGAAAGGCCCUGUUUUUGUGGGGCGCUCGAGUGGCGAACGGGUGAGUAACACGUGAGUAACCUGCCCCUGACUUUGGGAUAACUUCAGGAAAUUGGGGCUAAUACUGGAUAGGAGUUCCUGCUGCAUGGUGGGGGUUGGAAAGUUUCGGCGGUUGGGGAUGGACUCGCGGCUUAUCAGCUUGUUGGUGGGGUAGUGGCUUACCAAGGCUUUGACGGGUAGCCGGCCUGGGAGGGUGACCGGCAACAUUGGGACUGAGAUACGGCCCAGACUCCUACGGGAGGCAGCAGUGGGGAAUAUUGCACAAUGGGCGGAAGCCUGAUGCAGCAACGCGGCGUGCGGGAUGACGGCCUUCGGGUUGUAAACCGCUUUCGCCUGUGACGAAGCGUGAGUGACGGUAAUGGGUAAAGAAGCACCGGCUAACUACGUG